UUACUUGUUUUGCUAUUUUUUUUUAAAAAACCUAAGGCCACUAGUGCUUUUAUGUCUUUUAUCAAGCAGGGAAUACACAAUUUAAAAAAUUUCUCAAAAAAUCAUUUUCAUCUGUAUGUAAAAUUAUUUCAUAUAUUUCUACAACUGAGUCAUCCCUCAGAUUAGGAAAGUAUGUUCAGUUGAUACUGUAUUUUUUGUCCAAGCACACCGUUCAGAUACAUUGACUUAGGUAGGGUACACAAAAGAGCAACCUGAAUUCUGGAAUGCAACUACUACCGUGCCACCUAAAAUCACUGUUAUCGAUAGCCGAUGACAAAGAAGUUAAAGGUAAAUAAUUUAGUAUUAUUACCAACAUAAGUAUUGCGGUUGUCCACGCUGUUACGAAAAGUAUUCUAUUAUCACAGAACAUUUGCAUUUGCAUGCACAACAUACUGUUGGUUGUGAGACCACCUAUUAAAUAAAAAAAAAUCACAAAAGUUGAUUUGAUAUUGCUCCUUUCUAUGAUAUGUUUAAUAAUAAUUGCGUCGAAAAUGCCUUUGCAUAGUUACACCAAUAGAAUGACAA
rnacentral:lncRNA from 1 species